AAGAUGGACACGGAUGUUAGCUCAGAGCCAGUCUUCCUCAGCAAAAAGAGGAGGAUUGGCAGCAGAUGUUAGCUCAGGGCUAAUCUUCCUCAAAAAAAAUAAAGAAGAUGCCAUCAGGGGCUGACAGGGCAUUAGAGAUGAGCUCUGUACACCAAACUGGAUCUGCAAAUUAGUUCUUACUGCAGUCGGAAGAAAGGUUUUUUUAGUUGCUUUUCCAUCCCAACUAGAGUGAAAUAAACAAGCCCAGGGAAGAAAAUCUGACUUGUCUUUCAGUAAUAUGGAGUCAUUAUAACUAGCAAGCAAGUUCUUCGAGUCUUUUCUGAUGCAAAUCAGGUUUUCAGAACAUUGGUGUAUUUGGUAACUUCAAUAAAGACAAAAUUUGGGGGAAAGACUGUGGCAGCAAAUAAUAUUUGUCCCCAAUAAGCAGAUACUCCUUCCAGCUUUAGUAAUGGAACCCCAGAUUUUUGGAUGGGCAUGUGGGUACCCAGCUAAAGACUACAUUUCCCAGACUCCUUUGCAUUUGGGCGUAACGUGAUUUCCGACUAACGGGAUGUCAUAAAAAAAACACGGUAUCUGUGCACUUUCAGUCAUGCAUCCGGAAAUAGGUGUGACCUUCACUUCCUGGGUUUCUCUUUCCUGCUAGCUGAACAAAGACAAGAUGAUGAGAGCUGGAGCAACCAUCUGAUGGAAGGGGCCAUGAAUGGAAGCCAUGUUGAGGAAGCAGAACAGCAAGGUAGAAGGGGCUGGGGGCCCAACACUCUGAAGCCACCAUGUCUGCUUUGGACUGCUUCUAUCUGGGUUAAGCCACUAUUCUGAUUCAAUUGGUUUCGAGUUGGGCGCAGCCAUCUGUAGUCUUAAGAAGCCAACAGGUAAUUCUGCUAUGUACUCCAGCUGAGAGCCACACUUCUAAGGGCAAGCAUAUUUCUAGCCUUCAAAGGAAUGGCUUAGCAGCUGGAUUCACUUGGAAGGACAGUACCUCCUGCUGUGCUAUGUCCUGGUUCAAUGGAGAAAUGAUUCCCAAGUUUGGAA